rnacentral:lncRNA from 1 species
UUUUUUUUUUUUGAGAGAUAGAUAGUACGUUAUGUUAUCCGCUUCUUUUACUUUAUUUAGAAAUAAACUUAGCUGGAAAUGUGAAACAACUAGAAUUCGAACUUGGAUUUCGGGUACCAACCACCAAGCUCCCUUUCACGAUUUUCAUUCAAGAUAUAUUCAAAUUAUGACUAUGCGUUAUGUAACUCUGUUUAGAUAGUUGUAAAAUGUACGUGAAAUUAUUGUAUAUUUCCAACUAAUAAGCAUAUUAGAUACCAA